UGGGGAAUUUUUGGACAAUGGGCGCAAGCCUGAUCCAGCCAUGCCGCGUGAGUGAAGAAGGCCUUCGGGUUGUGAAGCUCUUUCGGCCGGAACGAAAUCGUCCGGGCUAAUACCCCGGAUGGAUGACGGUACCGGAAGAAGAAGCACCGGCUAACUACGUGCCAGCAGCCGCGGUAAUACGUAGGGUGCAGGCGUUAAUCGGAAUUACUGGGCGUAAAGCGUGCGCAGGCGGCUUCCUAAGUCAGAUGUGAAAUCCCCGGGCUCAACCUGGGAACUGCGUUUGAAACUGGGAGGCUCGAGUGCGGCAGAGGGGGGUGGAAUUCCACGUGUAGCAGUGAAAUGCGUAGAUAUGUGGAGGAACACCGAUGGCGAAGGCAGCCCCCUGGGCCAGCACUGACGCUCAUGCACGAAAGCGUGGGGAGCAAACAGGAUUAGAUACCCUGGUAGUCCACGCCCUAAACGAUGUCGACUAGUUGUUGGGGGAGUCUGUCCCUCAGUAACG
rnacentral:rRNA from 1 species